ensembl:lncRNA
AUUCGGCUCACAGAUUUGAGAUCCAGACUGCAGAUCAGAGGGGAGACUGACUUCUGCCCUUCAUUUGGACCAAAGAAUACUUAUCUCCUUAUUCCCAGCUUCUUCUCAAGUUGCAGCUAGACCUGGGGAGAUGUAAAUAUAACCCAGUGUGAAAGCCUCUGAUGAACUCCAUCAAUAGAGGCCAAGCCUAUCCCCUUUCCUGAGAUAGUCCUAACAGGAAAACGAGGUAUAGAGGAGCCAUAACCAUACCAUUCUUACAGAGCUUGGCAACAGCAUGUGGGAUCCCAGUUUCCCAACCAGAAAUUGAACCUGUGCCUCCUGCAUUGGAACCAUGGAGUCUUAACCACUGAACCACCAGGAAAGUCCCAAUGAUGGAUUGUUUUGAGUAGGAACCUAUUCAUAUGAAAAGUAUGAAAUAUUCAAUAGAACACUCACCAAUAAAAGAUCAUUUUUAAUAUUCAGUGGGUAUAAAUCUCACAGUGACAAAAAUUAUUCAUUUAAAGGAGUGACUGUGGUUUAAAAUGA